rnacentral:tRNA from 1 species
GGAUAUAUAGCUCAGUUGGUAGAGCGCAUGCUUAGCACGCAUGAGGUCCUGGGUUCAAUCCCUAGCACCUCCA